rnacentral:ncRNA from 1 species
CAAUUCGACUUGGUUGAAGGGAAAAUUCCAAUUAAAUUCUUUAUGAAAUCUAUAAAUAUAUUAUAUUUCAGAAGAUUAGAUUUAUUUAAUAAUUUAUAAUUAUUGAGAUUUAAUUAAAAUUUCUAGCUAAUUUUGUGCCAGCAGCAGCGGUUAUACAAAAAGAAGAUUUUUCUUUUUUAAUAUUUUAAUUAAAAUUGAAUUCAAUCAUUAAGAAAAAUUAAGGUGAAAUUUUUUUUUCUUCUUUAAAUUUUUGAAAAUUUUAAUUCUUUUUUAAACUAGGAUUAGAUACCCUAUUAUUAAGAGCUACAUAUUGUUAGUAAAUAAAAAUUACGAAAACAUAAAGUUAUGGCGGUAUUUCAAGCUUUUCAGAGGAAUUUGCUCUAUAAUGGAUAAAACGCCAAAACCUUUCUAUAAUUUGCAAAAUCAGUUUGUAUACCACUAUGAAAGUAAUAUUUUACUAUUAUUACUUCAAUUUCAAAAUUUUUGAAAAAAAAUUAAGUCAAGGUGCAGCAAAAAUUUUAGAAUGAAGUGAAUUACAUUUCUUUUUAGAGAAUUUUUAAUUGAAAAUUUAAUUAGGAUUUGAUAGUAAAAUUUUUAAUAGAAUGAAAAUUUGAAUUAAGCUCUGAAAUAUGUACAUAUCGCCCGUCGCUCUUUUCUGAAGAUAAGUCGUAACAAAGUUAAAAUACUGGAAAGUGUUUU